ensembl:lncRNA
GCAGGACUUCAGAAACGUGACGGCAGUCGGUUUGAUCUCGCUGAGGUUUCUCCUAGCAGGUGUUUGUUCAUGCUCGGCGUAGGAUUAGUGUAUGUGUGUAGAAUUAGGGCCACCAUGUCUCUGUCCGUGUGUGUGUGUGUGUGUGUGUGUGUGUGGACAGGUUGUGUUCACCGAGUGUGUACGUGGUCAGGACUUCCCUUGGUUUAGGCUGGGUCACUGUGCCCAGGUGUUGUGCCAGUUCAGGGACAGAUAAGGUCCUCGUGUACUUUGCGGUGCUGUUGUUUCUUCUCGUGUUUGAAGAAUGUGACGUGGUCUGUCUGGGCUUUUGGUCUGGACACGUUUUGGAUUGUAAAGUCAGCCGUGAGACCCGCUUGCUGAGGAGGCUUCUCUCCGGGGUCAGCUCCUGGUAUCUCAGUGCUUUGUGAUGGAGGUUGUCUGGAUCACUAUAUUCACGUGGGCGUGGAACGUGCGUGAAUGAAUUCUACCUGCAGAGUCUCUACUGGGGGUUCGUCACAUUUACUGAACUCUUGGUUUGUGAUCAGACCCCAGACCUCACGUCUGUAGAGCGCGAAGGGUUCUAAAGAAGACCGAAUUGUUUUUAGCCAGAUUCGGAUUGGGAGGUCACAUUUAAUAGCGAACUGUAAACAGCUCUUCUCUCUCUCUCGCUGUGUCUGUCUCUCUAUAUGUCUCUCUCUCGCUGUGUCUGUCUCUCUAUAUGUCUCUCUCUCGCUGUGUCUGUCUCUCUAUAUGUCUCUCUCUCGCUGUGUCUGUCUCUCUAUAUGUCUCUCUCUCUCGCUGUCUGUCUGUCUCUCGCUGUGUCUCUCGCUGUGUCUCUCGCUGUCUGUCUCUCGCUCUGUCUUUUUCGCUCUCACUCUGUCUCUCACUCUGUCGGUCUCUCGCUCUCUCUCUGCCUCGCUCUCUCUGUGCAGACACACAACAUGAGAUCAAAGGUCUGAUGGCAGUCAAAACACACACACACACACACACACACACACACACACACACACACACACACACAGAGCUGGGCUGCUAUCUCUCUCAUUCUCACUGUCUCUCUCACACUCUCAACCUGUCUCUCUUACCAUCUGCCUCUCUCACUCUCACCAUCGUCGUCUCUCACACUGUCUCACUCUCUCGCUCGCCCUCUCUCACUUUGUCUGUCUGGAUGAUCCUUAGCAUAUGAAAAUCACUACGAUUUGGAUUUUUAGGCUUCAUUUACACUACAUGUUGCACCUGCUUAAAUACACUCUGUGAGUGUGUGAGUGUGUGUGCGCGUGUGUGUGUGUGUAUUUGUCCAUGUUCCUCUUUCUGCACUCAAACAGACUCGCUUUCACUUUAAGUAGUUGUUUAAACCAGUCUGAGAGGAACCCUGAUCACCUGACUCUGACUCCGCCCCCUCCAUCACAGUCGGGUCAACGUGCGAGACACGAGAACUCGGCUCUCGGCGUAUCAGAGCGUUAGAGACGUCGCGUGAUUGUCUGCCGAACCUGAAAGUGUGUGAGGGAAUCGCCGAGGUUAAAAGGUGUGUGUGUGAAAACCACAAGCUCUCUGAACACAGUCGUUUUGUUUUUAUUUAUUAUUACUUCAUAAAAGUAUUAAUAAUACUUUCCUUACGCUAAUAACAGCACUAAUCCUGUCAGAUUUAACCUGCGAGUUGAGAUUACUGGACAGUUUUAUCCACUCGUUUAACCGCGCUCCUUUCUCACGUUACCCAACGCGAGAAAAUAAACCGUACUCUCUACUGACUUUAGCGAAAACAAAUUAUUACUUGGGGUCUAUGUUGAAACAAAAUGGCGGCACGACCCACCUGAAAACGAUCAGGACGACGACUUUAUAUACGUGUUUGUGUCUGUAUUGACGCUCUUGAUUAGCUAACUAGCUCACCAUGCGUUAUUUCAUAUGGUGUGUACGUUAGCGAACAUUUUGAAGCUAGUCAGUUAGAUCUCCAUGGGACUGAGCAACACACCGGAGCUUUCGCUUGGCCUUGGCUUACUUGUUGUCCUGGGAACUUGUUUUAAAGGGCCCCUGAAAUCAAGGAGCUUUCUGUAUUUAGGGUUAUACACACCAGUUGGGGGGGAUACAAAUAGCUUCGGAGAUGUUCUCAUUUUAAUUUUAUAGCUCAUUACUGUUUAAAAAAAAAAAAUUAUUAUUAUUAUUCAUAAGUAGUAAGAAGUUUGUGAUCGUCCA